rnacentral:rRNA from 1 species
CAGUCGCCGCGGUAAUACAGAGGGUGCGAGCGUUAAUCGGAUUUACUGGGCGUAAAGCGUGCGUAGGCGGCUUCUUAAGUCGGAUGUGAAAUCCCUGAGCUUAACUUAGGAAUUGCAUUCGAUACUGGGAAGCUAGAGUAUGGGAGAGGAUGGUAGAAUUCCAGGUGUAGCGGUGAAAUGCGUAGAGAUCUGGAGGAAUACCGAUGGCAAAGGCAGCCAUCUGGCCUAAUACUGACGCUGAGGUACGAAAGCAUGGGGAGCAAACAGGAUUAGAUACCCCCGUAGUCCCUGUCUCUUAUAC